rnacentral:rRNA from 1 species
CGGCCCAGACUCCUACGGGAGGCAGCAGUGGGGAAUCUUAGACAAUGGGCGCAAGCCUGAUCUAGCCAUGCCGCGUGUGUGAUGAAGGCCCUAGGGUCGUAAAGCACUUUCGCCAGGGAUGAUAAUGACAGUACCUGGUAAAGAAACCCCGGCUAACUCCGUGCCAGCAGCCGCGGUAAUACGGAGGGGGUUAGCGUUGUUCGGAAUUACUGGGCGUAAAGCGCGCGUAGGCGGUUUGUUAAGUCGGAUGUGAAAGCCCCGGGCUCAACCUGGGAAUUGCACCC